GACGAACGCUGGCGGCGUGCUUAACACAUGCAAGUCGAACGGAAAGGCCCUGCUUUUGUGGGGUGCUCGAGUGGCGAACGGGUGAGUAACACGUGAGUAACCUGCCCUUUACUUUGGGAUAACUUCAGGUAACUGGGGCUAAUACCGGAUAGGAGCUCCUGCUGCAUGGUGGGGGUUGGAAAGUUUCGGCGGUUGGUGAUGGACUCGCGGCUUAUCAGCUUGUUGGUUGGGUAGUGGCUUACCAAGGCUUUGACGGGUAGCCGGCCUGAGAGGGUGACCGGCAAAAUGGGGACUGAGAGACGGACCAGACUGCAACGGGAGGCAGCAGGGGGGAAUAUUGCAAAAUGGGAGGAAGCCUGAUGAAGCAACGCCGGGUGCGGGAAGACGGACUUCGGGUUGUAAACCGAUUUAGCAUGUGACGAAGAGUGAGUGACGGUAAUGGGUAAAGAAGCACCGGCUAACUACGUG
rnacentral:rRNA from 1 species